rnacentral:sRNA from 1 species
CUAAAAAACAAAACACGUUGCGAAAACAAGUAGCAAGAAAUCCGAAAAAGACACUAAAAUCAAGAAACAAAAGAUAUACGAACUAAAAAGUCAAAGACACAAGUUACAAAAUUCAAACGUAAAAUCAAAAGUACAAAGCAAAAAGAUUGUUGGCAACAUUUUUAUAAGUAUAUAUACGUAUUAUUAUGAUUUGUAUAUAUUUUUUAUACGAACUCAAAACAACGGAGCCAGAAGCUCGAUUUUGAUACGCAGAAUUGCUCACGUGAUGCUCCGACUCCUACGACGGAAAUUCAAAAUCUAGUCUAAAAUUCAAAUAACUAAAAAAGCAGAAGCACAGAAACACAACAAAAGAAAAUAAUGAAAAUAUGAUCAAAAUUCUAAAUUAAACUUGUAAAAUGAGAAGCGCUGCGGCAACAAACUUUUCGAAAACCCUCGAUAAUUUAAUUGUUAAAAAAUAACUCAAACUAAAACUAAAUCCAAACCCUACUAACCGGAAAUGAUUUGAAACAGUGUAUUGUAUGGCAUAAUUUGCGGUGUGCCUCGAAAGCAAAGCGGCAAGUGUUGUUCAGCCCAUGAAGCAUGCCACGCGGCUGUGCCUCGUAAAUAAAAAAUAAUAAGAGAAUUGAAUAUGUGCGAUUAGUGAAUGAUGGUGACCCCUGACCCUACCCAACCCGACCAGCUCCCGUUGACCGCAGCGCUUGAGUGAAGUGUGUUCGGCCCUUGUCCCCCAAAUGAAAAAUUGUCCAAAAAUCUGUGCUCAUCGACUCUACCCGGCCAGAGAUAUGCGGCCCGGCCGUCUUCCUCCGAAUAUGCCAACUCUGAAUCACCAGCGGCCGGAGCAGUCCGCCGACUGUUCCCGCCCGCUCCUGGCAGCGGUCCAGUCCCGCUCAUCGGGGGCUGCCGCCGCCAGCCACCGACGUUGAAACGGGGCGAUCCUCUGAAGCGGCUCGCCACCUUCUCGCCACUGGCUAUGUAACUUAAAUUAAGGGUUACACCAUAUCGAGAAGUUAUCCAAUGAGAAAGCCGCUUAAAUUUUGUCUGAGUCCGGUCUUGGACUAAUGAAACGCCUUUGUGCCAGAGUGGACUUCAUUUUUUAAUUAGAAAGUCAACACACCCGCACACACAGACAUACGUGCAUGAGCCCGAGAAUCCUUAAUCGAAAAGUGCUGCCAUAUGGAGAGGCGCCUUUGUAAGGACGGCAGGACUCCAUCCCCUCAGCUCUGUGCUUGUUUGCUUUUGUUUAUUUGUGUGCUACUUAAGAUGAAAUGGCAAAGAAAACUGACGUUGGAUGCCAGAUGCCAGAAAGAGACGAACAAAUGGGCGAAUGAGCUGGCCCGUGUCCGUUUCAAUUUCUCCUACCAAGUCAGUCCUGGUCCUUCACGCAGACAUUUUCUUUGAGUUUCCUCCUUGCUGCUGCCGCUGCUCCUGAUUCUACUCCUGCCGCUGCUGCAGCUAAAAAUAAAAAAUUGAAAGAAAAAGGCAAACAGACUACUAGUCUGAGUUAGAGGAACGAGUGCAACAGCAACGGCCGAGGCAGAGACAGCGGCAGCGGCGGAAACGGAAAUUGCUGAAGUUGCAUGUGUAUGUCCUCCUACAUAUAUACGCGUACUUAUGUGUGUGUAAUGAUGCGCCGUGUUAUCCUUUUGCUGACAGCAGACGCCGCUAGUUGUUGCAUUUACAAGCAGGCUGCAAUUAUUUUCAGCUUAGGCGACAAAAUAGAAGGAAGCAAGUCUUAAGCAUUUUCCAUUUCCCAGACUCGUUAUUAUCCAGCUCGAUGCCACAUAAAUGAGUUUGUUGCUGUUCCUACUUCUAUGCUUAGAUGUUUCUUUUUUAUUAUGCUGGCAUAUACUAAAUAUACCCAUAUCAUAAAAGAGAUUCAAAUAUAAUCUUAAU